rnacentral:rRNA from 1 species
GGGGUACACGAGUGGCGAACGGGUGAGUAACACGUGGGUAAUCUGCCCUGCACUUCGGGAUAAGCCUGGGAAACUGGGUCUAAUACCGGAUAUGAACUCCUGCCGCAUGGUGGGGGUUGGAAAGUUUUUCGGUGCAGGAUGAGCCCGCGGCCUAUCAGCUUGUUGGUGGGGUAAUGGCCUACCAAGGCGACGACGGGUAGCCGGCCUGAGAGGGUGAUCGGCCACACUGGGACUGAGACACGGCCCARACUCCUACGGGAGGCAGCAGUGGGGAAUAUUGCACAAUGGGCGAAAGCCUGAUGCAGCGACGCCGCGUGGGGGAUGACGGUCUUCGGAUUGUAAACCCCUUUCAGUAGGGACGAAGCGCAAGUGACGGUACCUGCAGAAGAAGCACCGGCUAACUACGUGCCAGCAGCCGCGGUAAUACGUAGGGUGCGAGCGUUGUCCGGAAUUACUGGGCGUAAAGAGCUCGUAGGCGGUUUGUCACGUCGUCUGUGAAAUCCCUCGGCUUAACCGGGGGCGUGCAGGCGAUACGGGCAGACUUGAGUACUACAGGGGAGACUGGAAUUCCUGGUGUAGCGGUGAAAUGCGCAGAUAUCAGGAGGAACACCGGUGGCGAAGGCGGGUCUCUGGGUAGUAACUGACGCUGAGGAGCGAAAGCAUGGGUAGCGAACAGGAUUAGAUACCCUGGUAGUCCAUGCCGUAAACGGUGGGCGCUAGGUGUGGGGUCCUUCCACGGACUCCGUGCCGUARCUAACGCAUUAAGCGCCCCGCCUGGGGAGUACGGCCGCAAGGCUAAAACUCAAAGGAANUGACGGGGG